rnacentral:rRNA from 1 species
AGUGAACGCUGGCGGUAGGCCUAACACAUGCAAGUCGAACGGCAGCACAGUAAUAGCUUGCUCUUACGGGUGGCGAGUGGCGGACGGGUGAGGAAUACAUCGGAAUCUACUUUUUCGUGGGGGAUAACGUAGGGAAACUUACGCUAAUACCGCAUACGACCUACGGGUGAAAGCAGGGGAUCUUCGGACCUUGCGCGAUUGAAUGAGCCGAUGUCGGAUUAGCUAGUUGGCGGGGUAAAGGCCCACCAAGGCGACGAUCCGUAGCUGGUCUGAGAGGAUGAUCAGCCACACUGGAACUGAGACACGGUCCAGACUCCUACGGGAGGACGCAGUGGGGAAUAUUGGACGAUGGGCGCGAGCGUGAUCCAGCCAUACCGCGUGGGUGAAGAAGGAGCUCGGGUUGUAAAGCCCUUUUGUUGGGAAAGAAAAGCAGCAGGUUUAUACCCCGCUGUUCUGACGGUACCCAAAGAAUAAGCACCGGCUAACUUCGUG